rnacentral:rRNA from 1 species
UACAGAGGUCCCAAGCGUUGUUCGGAUUUAUUGGGCGUAAAGGGUGCGCAGGCGGCCAAGUGUGUGAGGCGUGAAAGCCUGGGGCUUAACUCCAGAAUUGCACCUCAAACUACAUGGCUAGAGCAUUGGAGAGGGUAGCAGAAUUCACGGUGUAGCAGUGAAAUGCGUAGAUAUCGUGAGGAAUACCAGAGGCGAAGGCGGCUACCUGGACAAUUGCUGACGCUCAGGCACGAAAGCGUGGGGAGCAAAAGGG